GGCCGCCUGGCGAAAUGGCAUCGCGUCUGACUACGAAUCAGGAGAUUGUAGGUUCGACCCCUACGGCGGUCA
rnacentral:tRNA from 1 species